GCACUUCUUAAUUGAUCGCUGAGCCAUCCUCCUCAAUUCAACAUAGAGUGGUUAAUAAUUGUUGGUACAAUCACUCUCUUCUCUCCCUCACACUCUCUUUCUUUUCAAGUCAAGGGGGAGAGGGAACACCUAGAGACCCUCUCAUGGCUUCUCUGAUUAUGACUACGCUCAAAACCACUCUGCCACAUGUCUCCGAAGAUGUGUUCCCAAGAUACAGCAACCUAAACAAAUCUAAAACUUUCCUCGCUAUUGCAAGAAAACCCUUUUCACCAAAUAUUGGAAACACUGGUCUUAUCAAAUGUUCAUCGUCCAUCUCAAGUCUAACUCCACAACUAGACGAAACCUUAGUUUACCGAGAAGAUGAGAGGACUCUAAGCGAAAUAUGGAAGGAAAUCCAAGGCUCCGAUGACUGGGAAGGACUCCUAGAUCCCAUGAAUUCUCAUCUUCGCAAAGAAAUAAUCCGCUAUGGAGAAUUCUCCCAAGCAUGCUAUGAUUCUUUCGAUUUCGAUCCUCACUCUAAGUACUGUGGCACAUGCAAGUACCAAGGAGCUAAUUUCUUCGAUAAGCUAGAUAUGCAAGGCCAUGGUUACAAAAUAAGCAGGUAUCUCUACGCCACUUCAAAUAUUAACCUUCCAAAUUUCUUCCAGAAAUCUAAGCUGAGCAGCAUUUGGAGCAUCCAUGCAAAUUGGAUGGGUUACGUCGCUGUCACCACUGAUGAAAAGGAGAUCAAACGUCUGGGCCGCCGCGAUAUAGUCAUAGCAUGGAGAGGCACAGUCACUUAUCUUGAAUGGAUAUAUGAUCUUAAAGAUAUCCUUUGCUCUGCUAACUUCACCAGCGAUCCAUCCAUCAAAAUCGAGUUAGGGUUUUAUGAUUUAUACACUAAGAAAGAAAACUCCUGCAAGUACUGCACAUUUUCAGCUCGUGAACAAGUUUUAGCAGAGAUUAAGCGACUUCUUGAUUAUUAUAGAGGUGAAGAAAUUAGUAUAACAAUCACAGGUCACAGCCUAGGGGCAGCUUUGGCUAUAUUAAGUGCCUACGAUAUUGCAGAGAUGAGGCUUAAUUAUAUGGAUCAUGAAGAAUUAAGGAAUAAAAUUCCUAUCACCGUCUACUCUUUCGCUGGCCCUCGAGUGGGAAAUCUCAAGUUUAAAGAACGAUGCGAAGAGCUUGGAGUUAAAGUACUAAGAGUGAUUAAUGAGCAUGACAAGGUACCAACAGUUCCAGGGAUUUUUGCUAAUGAGAAAUUCCAGUAUCAAAAAUACGUGGAGGACACCAUUUCAUUUCCUUGGAGCUAUGCACAUGUGGGAGUGGAACUUGCAUUGGAUCACACCCACAGCCCAUUUCUAAAGCCAACAAAUGAUCUUGGUUGUGCACAUAAUCUGGAGGUUCAUUUACACUUGGUGGAUGGCUACCAGGGCAAAGGGAAGCGAUUCUUCUUGGCAACCAAGAGAGACAUUGCCCUCGUCAACAAGAGUUGUGACUUCUUGAGAAGCGAGUACGGUGUGCCACCGCACUGGCGGCAAGACGAGAACAAAGGGAUGGUGAGAAACAACGAGGGGCGGUGGGUGGUGCCAGAGAGGCCUAGAGUGGAGGCCCAUCCAGACGACACGGCCCACCACCUUGAACAAGUGCUCAAAAUUGCGAGUUCCCAUCAAGUGGAAGCACUUUGAAUUUGAUGUGGUACAACAUCUACCCACUAACCCAUGUCUCGGUCGUGGGUCUUAUCUUUUCAUUGUCCUACAUAUAUAUAAACGUGCGAAUCCUUUGUGAUAUAAUUUCAAGAGUGUGUCUAUAUAUUGAAACAUUUUUUAAAUAAAUUUUAUCAUAUUCGCCAAAAUGAAAAAG
rnacentral:misc_RNA from 1 species